GUACACGCUGUGACUAGCAUAUCAAUAAGCGGAGGAAAAGAAACUAACAAGGAUUCCCUUAGUAACGGCGAGUGAAGCGGGAAGAGCUCAAAUUUGAAAUCUUAAAGGGUUUCCCUUUACGAAUUGUAGUUUAAAGAAGUGUUUUCUGCUGAGGUUUUGGUAAAAGUUCUUUGGAAUAGGACAUCAUAGAGGGUGAGAAUCCCGUAUUUGACCUUUACUUUCAACUUUGUGAUACACUUUCAAAGAGUCGGAUUGUUUGGGAAUGCAGUCCAAAAUGGGUGGUAAAUUUCAUCUAAAGCUAAAUAUUGGCGAGAGACCGAUAGCGAACAAGUACCGUGAGGGAAAGAUGAAAAGAACUUUGAAAAGAGAGUUAAACAGUACGUGAAAUUGUCAAAAGGGAAGCGUUUGACACCAGUGUUGUUUUUCUGAAAAUCAAUUAAAGAACUGUUUAUGCUAAGCUGUUUCAGACUUUAUCAGCUAUCUGUUUAGUUUUGAGCUUUUCUUUAAUGCACUUUUCAGUUAACAAGUCAACAUCAAUUUCUUUUGCUGUAAAAAAGCUUGAGGAAGGUGGCUUGAGAUUCGUCUUAAGUGUUUAUAGCCUCUUGCCUAUGCAGUCGGAGAGAUUGAGGUCUGCAGCGUAGAUCCUUCGGGGCUAAAUGCAUUUGUGCUAAGUUAUAGCAUUUUAUAGACAACUUGUUGACUAUGAUUUGUCUUGUAGCUUACUCGCUUAUGUUAUUUUACCUACGCUUAGGAUGUUGACUGAUAUGUAGUCGU
rnacentral:rRNA from 1 species